GUACUCGCUUCGGCGGUAAAUAUACUAAAAUUGGAACUAUCAGAGAAGAUUAGCGUGGCCCCUGCGCAAACAUGACACGCAAAAUCGUCAAGCGUUCCACAUUUCA